rnacentral:rRNA from 1 species
AGCGAACGCUGGCGGCAGGCCUAACACAUGCAAGUCGAACGGAUCCUUCGGGAUUAUUGGCGGACGGGUGAGUAACACGUGGGAACGUGCCCUUUUGUUCGGAACAACUCAGGGAAACUUGAGCUAAUACCGGAUGUGCCCUUCGGGGGAAAGAUUUAUCGCCAUUGGAGCGGCCCGCGUCUGAUUAGCUAGUUGGUGAGGUAACGGCCCACCAAGGCGACGAUCAGUAGCUGGUCUGAGAGGAUGAUCAGCCACACUGGGACUGAGACACGGCCCAGAAUCCUACGGGAGGCAGCAGUGGGGAAUCUUGCGAAAUGGGCGAAAGCCUGAAGCAGCCAUGCCGCGUGAAUGAUGAAGGUCUUAGGAUUGUAAAAUUCUUUCAGCGGGGACGAUAAUGACGGUACCCGAAGAAGAAGCUCCGGCUAACUUCGUG